UACGGAGGGUGCAAGCGUUGUCCGGAUUUAUUGGGUUUAAAGGGUGCGUAGGCGGUCCGUUAAGUCCGGGGUGAAAGCCCACUGCUCAACAGUGGAACUGCCCUGGAAACUGGCGGACUUGAGUACAGACGAGGGUGGCGGAAUGGAUGGUGUAGCGGUGAAAUGCAUAGAUACCAUCCAGAACCCCGAUUGCGAAGGCAGCUGCCUAGACUGUAACUGACGCUGAGGCACGAAAGCGUGGGGAGCAAACAGG
rnacentral:rRNA from 1 species